rnacentral:rRNA from 1 species
GACAAUGAUGUGAAGCUGACGUCUAAUCAGCAUGACCCUAUAUGACUUGUGCUAAACUUGAGUGCAGAAGAGGAGAGUGGAACUCCAUGUGUAGCGGUGAAAUGCGUAGAUAUAUGGAAGAACACCAGUGGCGAAGGCGGCUCUCUGGUCUGCAACUGACGCUGAGGCUCGAAAGCAUGGGUAGCGAACAGGAUUAGAUACCCUGGUAGUCCAUGCCGUAAACGAUGAGUGCUAAGUGUUGGAGGGUUUCCGCCCUUCAGUGCUGCAGCUAACGCAUUAAGCACUCCGCCUGGGGAGUACGACCGCAAGGUUGAAACUCAAAGGAAUUGACGGGGGCCCGCACAAGCGGUGGAGCAUGUGGUUUAAUUCGAAGCAACGCGAAGAACCUUACCAGGUCUUGACAUCCUUUGACAACUCUAGAGAUAGAGCGUUCCCUUCGGGGACACAGAGACAGGUGGUGCAUGGGUGUCGUCAGCUCGUGUCGUGAGAUGUUGGGUUAAGUCCCGCAACGAGCGCAACCCUUGUUAUUAGUUGCCAGCAUUUAGUUGGGCACUCUAGUGAGACUGCCGGUGACAAACCGGAGGAAGGUGGGGAUGACGUCAAAUCAUCAUGCCCUAGGGGGGGUA